AAUGAACGCUGGCGGCGUGGAUUAGGCAUGCAAGUCGAACGAGAAAGCGGUCUUCGGAUCGCCGGUACAGUGGCGAACGGGUGAGUAACACGUGAGUAACCUGCCCUUAACUCUGGGAUAAGCCUGGGAAACUGGGUCUAAUACCGGAUAUGACUCCUCAUCGCAUGGUGGGGGGUGGAAAGCUUUAUUGUGGUUUUGGAUGGACUCGCGGCCUAUCAGCUUGUUGGUGAGGUAAUGGCUCACCAAGGCGACGACGGGUAGCCGGCCUGAGAGGGUGACCGGCCACACUGGGACUGAGACACGGCCCAGACACCUACGGGUGGCUG
rnacentral:rRNA from 1 species